rnacentral:rRNA from 1 species
UACGUAGGGUGCAAGCGUUAAUCGGAAUUACUGGGCGUAAAGCGUGCGCAGGCGGUUUUGUAAGUCUGUCGUGAAAUCCCCGGGCUCAACCUGGGAAUUGCGAUGGAGACUGCAAGGCUAGAAUCUGGCAGAGGGGGGGUAGAAUUCCACGUGUAGCAGUGAAAUGCGUAGAGAUGUGGAGGAACACCGAUGGCGAAGGCAGCCCCCCUGGGUCAAGACUGACGCUCAUGCACGAAAGCGUGGGGAGCAAACAAGGAUUAGAGUACCC